CAGUGAUGGAGAUAAGAAGAAGAAGAAGAAAAAGAAGGACAAGAAGAAGGAUAAGAAGAAGGAUGAAGAGCAGAAUGAGCUCAGCAGUGUUGUCGCUCUCUCAGCAGCUGAAAAUGAGACUGCAGGACCAAGUACUGACGGAGAUAAAAAGACAGAUGGAGGUGCCGAGAAGGCAAACGCCAAAGAGCUUAAAGCAGCAGGCAAAGACAAGCUGUGCGCUGCAUCGGCUGGGGGGACAGAGGCAUUCCAAGAUGCUAUUGAGGAAGGCCACCUGAGUGAUGAUGAGGGAGAGGGCGACAAUGAGCAGGAGAAGAAGAAGAAGAAGAAGCUGAAGAAGAAGAAGGAGAAGGAGUCUGGUUCAUGUUCAGACAGUGACGAUGAUAAAAAGGAUAAGAAGAAGAAGAAGAAGAAGGAAAAGGACUCUUCCAGCUCCUCUUCAUCUGAUAGCGCCUCUUCAGACAGUGAAGAUGAUCAGAAGAAAAAGAAGAAGAAGAAGAAGAAGAAGGAGAAGGAUUCCAGCUGUUCCUCUUCCUCUGAUAGCGAGGAUGAAAAGAAGAAGAAAAAGAAGAAGA